CAGCAGCCGCGGGAAUAUGUAGGUGGCAAGCGUUGUCCGGAAUUAUUGGGCGUAAAGGGCUCGCAGGCGGUUUCUUAAGUCUGAUGUGAAAGCCCCCGGCUCAACCGGGGAGGGUCAUUGGGAACUGGGAAACUUGAGUGCAGAAGAGGAGAGUGGAAUUCCACGUGUAUCGGUGAAAUGCGUAGAGAUGUGGAGGAACACCAGUGGCGAAGGCGACUCUCUGGUCUGUAACUGACGCUGAGGAGCGAAAGCGUGGGGAGCGAACAGGAUUAGAUACCCCCGUAGUCCCUGUCUCUUAUAC
rnacentral:rRNA from 1 species